UACGGAAGGCAGCAGUGGGGAAUAUUGCACAAUGGGCGCAAGCCUGAUGCAGCCAUGCCGCGUGUAUGAAAAAGGCCUUCGGGUUGUAAAGUACUUUCAGUCGUGAGGAAGGUGUUAAGGUUAAUAACCUUAGCAAUUGACGUUAGCGACAGAAGAAGCACCGGCUAACUCCGUGCCAGCAGCCGCGGUAAUACGGAGGGUGCGAGCGUUAAUCGGAAUUACUGGGCGUAAAGGGCACGCAGGCGGUUAAUUAAGUUGGAUGUGAAAUCCCCGGACUUAACCUGGGAAUGGCAUUCAAGACUGGUUAGCUAGAGUCUUGUAGAGGGGGUAGAAUUCCAUGUGUAGCGGUGAAAUGCGUAGAGAUGUGGAGGAAUACCGGUGGCGAAGGCGGCCCCUGGACAAAGACUGACGCUCAUGUGCGAAAGCGUGGGGAGCAAACGAGGGAUUAGAUACC
rnacentral:rRNA from 1 species